ensembl:lncRNA
AAAUACUCUAUAAAGGAGAAAUUUUGAUAAUUUGAGGUAUUGGUUCAUUCAUUUACUGAGGUAAUCAGUGGUUUCUUAGCCCCUGAGUUCAGGCGUUGUGUUGAGCACCAGGCAUAUAAAGAUGAAAGGGGCACAGUCUAACACAGCACGACGCUUGCACUAUAGCUAGCUAUCGUGGAGGCAGAGACAAUGGGCUAAUACGUUAUGAAUGCUGUGCAUGGAGUUUGCCUGAGAGUGAGUUCAGAUUUUAUUUCGUCAGUGUUUGACAACCUAUGAAGAAGGGUGGGUGAGGGGAUCAUGAUUAUAUUAGAAAUGUUACUCUGGUGUCUUUGGUUUGGAUGAGCAAGAAUUUAGGGUGAUCAGGAGAGAGAAGAGGGAGGGGGAAGAAGUGGGGGAAAGACUGAGUGCCUAAUGCUGGACUAUGACCUUGGGGAUGAAGACGAGGGGCUGGACUUAGGAGAUAUGUUGGAGGUGGAAUGACAGGACUUGACCAAUUAUGUGGGGGGAGGCUCUGAUAACUCCAAGGGGCCUGUGUAGAUGCUGCCGCCAUUCACUGAGCUAGGGGAAGGGCAAGGUUGUGGAUGGGUGUCUAGUGAGUUCCAGUUUUGAAUCUGUUAUGAAUUGAGGCAUUUGGGAAUAUAUUAUCUUACUAGAUGGUGGUUGAUGUAUGGAUCUGGGACUUGGGAAAGGAACCUCCAUUAGACAUAAAUACAAGGAACUGUACGGUUGGUAUCUGUAGCCAUAGAUACAGAUUCAAUUGUCCAGAUAGAACACGUAGAAGAGGAAGAGAAAAGUCAAGCACCGAGCUCAGGGAGUCAUUAGUAUUAAGUGGAGGGUGGGUGGAAGAGAAGCCAGAGAGGACUGUUGGAGAAAGAGAGGAAGAGAGCGUGACGAGGACCAGAAGGGGAGAGUCUUGGGGACAUCAAAGUGAAAGUGAAAGGUCGCUCAGUCGUGUCUGACUCUUUGUGACCUCAUGCACUAUACAGUCCAUGGAAUUCUCCAGGCCAGAAUACUGGAGUGGGUAGCCUUUCCCUUCUCCAGGGGAUCAUCCCAACCCCAGGGUUGAACCCAGGUCUCCCACAUUGCAGGUGGAUUCUUUACCAGCUGAGCCACCAGGGACGCCCAAGAAUACUGGAGUGGGUAGCUGUUCCCUUCUCCAGGGGAUCUUCCUGACCCAGGAAUUGAACUGGGAUCUCCUGCAUUGCAGGCGGAUUCUUUACCAAUGGAGCUAUGAGGGAAGCCCUGGGGACAUCAGGAGGAAGACGUUUGAAGAAAGGCAAACUGGUUAGCAAAGGUGACAAAAGAAUCAAAUCAGUGUGGCAGGAGGUCUUAUGGAGAAGGCAUGGCACCCCACUCCAGUACUCUUGCCUAGAAAAUCCCAUGGACAGAGGAGCCUGGUAGGCUGCAGUCCAUGGGGUUGCUGAGGGUCGGACACAGCUGAGCGACUUCACUUUCACUUUUUACUUUCAUGCUUUGGAGAAGGAAAUGGCAACCCACCCCAGUGUUCUUGCCUGGAGAAUCCCAGGAAUGGGGGAGCCUGAUGGGCUGCCAUCUAUGGGGUCACACAGAGUUGGACACGACUGAAGCAACUUAGCAGCAGCAGCAGCAGGAGGUCUUAUGUCUUUAUUUUAGAGAAGGAACCUUUCUGUGUGACUGAUGGAGUAUGUCCCUUGCAUUGACAGGCGAAUUCUUACCCACUGUACUACCAGGGAAGUCCUAGGAGUUGUAUUUGUGAUACCAUUUUGUCAGUGUGAUCAACAGAAUUUGCCAGUGGCAAAGAAGAAUCAAGCACGAUACAUCUGCUCUUUGGCUUGCAUGACAGACUCAGUGUUAUGGCACCAUUGGUUGAGAUGAGGGUGACAGGAGUGUGCUUGAGUUAGGGAAAUUGAAGAAAUCUGUUUGGAUGGGUUAAAUCAGAGGUGUCUUAUGAGACAUCCAAGUGAAAAUGUGCAACAAGCCAAAGCGUAUAUGAGUCUGGUGAUAUUUAGGCUAGAGGCCUAAAUUAGUGGUUUGACAAACGUGUGCAAUAAUUAAGGCUAGGAGACGAGAUGAAGUCACCUAGGGACAGAAAGAGGACAUAUUGGAGUUGAUCAUGAAAUUCAGGUCCACUUGACUCCAAAGGGUGCAAAUGAGCAAGGCUAGCUUGGGAGAGACUUUCCUGGCUGAAGGGGAGGGGCCUCCAGAAGUGGAGCAAGAGAUGAAGUUAGUACCUUGGGAGUGUGCAGUGAGGCACAUUGCUGUCUCAUGGGAAAGCCAGCUGAAGCUGCCAUAGGUCCUUGAACGUGGGAAAGAUAUAAAGGAAACAAGCACAGGGAAGGUACUGCCCGGGGACCUUGUGUGCCCUUCACAGGUCUGUCAGUGUGUUACCACGAGCUGUUAGUGUGAAGCCUCCAAGCCUUUGACUUGCAGACUUCCUGGCUUGCUCCUGGGUCGCUUCAUGCUAAUUGGUCCUGCUCUUACCAGUGAGAACUGGCUUCCCUGAGCAUUGUCUGGAGCCCCUUUCCUCUCGCAGAACAGUGCUGAGGACCCCAACGGCAUGCUUUCCUAAUUGCAGCUCCCUGCCUCUUAUUACCUAACUGCCUAUGCUUUUGCACAUUGCUUAUUUUUUUUUUUCCUUAGCAGG